rnacentral:rRNA from 1 species
UACGGAGGGUGCAAGCGUUAUCCGGAUUCACUGGGUUUAAAGGGUGCGUAGGCGGGCAGGUAAGUCCGUGGUGAAAUCUCUGAGCUUAACUCAGAAACUGCCAUGGAUACUAUUUGUCUUGAAUAUUGUGGAGGUAAGCGGAAUAUGUCAUGUAGCGGUGAAAUGCUUAGAUAUGACAUAGAACACCAAUUGCGAAGGCAGCUGGCUACACAAAUAUUGACGCUGAGGCACGAAAGCGUGGGGAUCAAACAGG